AGCAGCCGCGGUAAUUCCAGCUCCAAUAGCGUAUAUUAAAGUUGUUGCAGUUAAAAAGCUCGUAGUUGAAUUUCGGGAUCAGUUGGUCGGUCGUGCCUCGGUACGUACUGGUCAAAUUGAUUCCUACCUUCUGACGAACCACGAUGUCAUUAAUUUGGUGUCGCGGGAAAUCAGGACUGUUACUUUGAAAAAAUUAGAGUGUUUAAAGCAAGCUCGCGCUUGAAUACAUUAGCAUGGAAUAAUGAAAUAGGACGUUUGAUUCUAUUUUGUUGGUUUCUAGGAUCGACGUAAUGAUUAAUAGGGAUAGUUGGGGGCAUUAGUAUUCAAUUGUCAGAGGUGAAAUUCUUGGAUUUAUUGAAGACUAACUACUGCGAAAGCAUUUGCCAAGGAUGUUUUCAUUAAUCAAGAACGAAAGUUAGGGGAUCGAAGACGAUCAGAUACCGUCGUAGUCUUAACCAUAAACUAUGCCGACUAGGGAUCGGAUGAUGUUAAUUUUUUAAUGACUCAUUCGGCGCCUUAC
rnacentral:rRNA from 1 species